UUAGGUAACCUACCUAUAAGACUGGGAUAACUUCGGGAAACCGGAGCUAAUACCGGAUAAUAUUUCGAACCGCAUGGUUCGAUAGUGAAAGGUGGUUUUGCUAUCACUUAUAGAUGGACCCGCGCCGUAUUAGCUAGUUGGUAAUGUAACGGCUUACCAAGGCGACGAUACGUAGCCGACCUGAGAGGGUGAUCGGCCACACUGGAGCUGAGACACGGUCCAGACUCCUACGGGAGGCAGCAGCC
rnacentral:rRNA from 1 species